rnacentral:lncRNA from 1 species
AGGAAAUUAUGUGUAUUCAAUUAUUUUUCAUAUUUACAGAGUUAAUCUAAUAUUUAAAAAUGCUCUCACGUCUGCAGCUUCCAGAGAACUCCGUCUCUCAGACGCAAGUGGAGGAAACGUUACGGCGGCCUGGACGGAAACAAACUGCUGGAGCCCAACAAAGACCCAGACAUGAAAGAUGAUGGAGGGAUGACAGACAGGAUCCAGCAGAGGAGUGGAGGGAACCAGGUGGUUCUGCCUCAACAUGUCACACACAUACUCACAUUCUUCCAGUCAGACGCUGUUGAGGAGCUCAGUGGUUCUGUCUUCAGUCCAAACGGACUCUGAUCCACUUUACAAACCGCUGACAGGUGGUCGAGUGUAACUGAGUACUUUAACUCAGCUACUGUACUCCAGUGUGUAAUCCAUUACAUUUAUCUAACAGCUUUAGUUACUUUACAAACCAAAUGUUUGCACAUGAAACAUAAAAGUAAAAUGGCAGAAGAAUGUCCAUCACAGCUUCCCGUAGUCGUAUGAUACCGAGGUGUAGAAUACUUCCCGCUCCAUUUAUCACACCUGUAUACUGCAGGUGUGUUUAAGGUCUCUGUGCUAAUCUCAUGUUGUUUUAAAGGACUUCGCCCCCCGCCCAGCUCCCAGGUGCCUGAUCCAGAACCAGGUCCAGACUGCAGUCCAGAGUCCGGUCCAGAAGCCCAUCAGCCUCGUCAGUCCUGGACCUGCAGGUCGGACCGCAAACAUCAGCUCUCUUGUUCUACUGCAGCAGUCAGCUGGUUCUGACCCAGCAGUCCUGCAGUGUGACAUACAUGUAUCUAUAUUUCUGUCUUUGUUACUUUUAUAUUAAGCCUCCUACUUAUUUAUUUUUCUGUUUAAUUUCCCAUUUAAUUUAUUCAUUGAUCCAUUUUAAGUUGUUUCUGCAGCGUCUCGUCCUUCUACUCGUACUGUUUUCCUCUGAAUGAUUACAGAGUGACAGAAAAAUAUCUGACAUUUCUUCCCAAAAUAAAGAAAUAUGUUGUUUUCUUGUUCAGAAAGUUUCAACUCAACUAACCUGACUGAUCAGAAUGAUACAGAUCUAUGUUUAUUGAUCUGAUGUGCAGUG